CUAUUGCCCAACCUUUGGCUUCAAAGUUCAAAAACCCAUACACUAUACACAGCAUGACAAAUUAAAUUUAAUGAAAUUCAUGGGUGUAAGUUGUAAACAUUUUUAACUAUAAAAUACAGUACAAACACCUAUUGUUAAAAGUAAAAUGGACUCAAAAGUUCCUAAAGAAAUGAGGUUCAGCGACAAUAUUGAAGCCAACUGGAAAAACUGGAAGCAACGCAUGUCACUGUACUUACUCGCAAGUAAUAAAAACACGUGUUCGGACGAGACAAACUGCUUUAUUACUUACGCUACUUGGAGAAGAACGCAUCAAUAUCUCCAACACGUCAUUUAGCGAAGAGGAAGUCCACGACAAGAAAAAUUUGUUCAAUUUACAAAAAACUGUAAGCAAUAUCAUUUAAUAUGCUUCAUACACCUCUCCUUCAUGGAUUGCCACGUACAAAUUGUACAUACAUUAUCGUGUUCCAUCUUCUUCCAUGACGGUCAUCGACGUACCAGAUAAAUUGAAUACCAAUGUCAUAUUUGAUAUGCUUCAUAUACCUCUCUUUCAUGGAUUGCCACGCUCAAAUUCUACAUACAUUAGCUUGUUCCAUCUUCUUCCACAUCAACAUACCAGAUACCAUUGGAUACAUAGUUAAUGUUUAUGAUGUAUUUUACUAUA